rnacentral:ncRNA from 1 species
AGAAAGACGUUGAAGGUGCAACAAGGAUUUUCAAGACCUGACAGAGAGACGGGGUCAUGGCUGCAAGCCCUGUUCAGUAGAGGAAGAUCUCAUUUUCACACUGGAGUCGCGGAUUUGAACAUACCAUUGUCGUGGUGCAGUGGAAAGUAGGAUUCGUCGUGUUAUGCACGUUACGCAUACAAUGAGAGCGACUGUCACAGUCGAAUCAGGGUGGUACCGCGGAUAUUACUUCGUCCCUAGU